UACGUAGGGGGGCAAGCGUUGUCCGGAUUUAUUGGGCGUAAAGAGCGUGUAGGCGGCCAGGUAGGUCUGCUGUGAAAACUCGAGGCUCAACCUCGAGAUGUCGGCGGAAACCAUCUGGCUAGAGUCCGGAAGAGGAGAGUGGAAUUCCUGGUGUAGCGGUGAAAUGCGCAGAUAUCAGGAAGAACACCCGUAGCGAAGGCGGCUCUCUGGGGACGGUACUGACGCUGAGACGCGAAAGCGUGGGGAGCGAACAGG
rnacentral:rRNA from 1 species